rnacentral:rRNA from 1 species
CUAUACAAAGGUAUUGAAAUAAGAUUUUAAAUGAGUGCUAAGAGRAUGAUUGAACAAUUAUAGGCUUUCUUUAGUUAAAUAAUUAAAUUUAAUUUUUUUAGUGCAAAAGCAAAAAUUAAAUUUAGGGACAAGAAGACCCUAUGAAUUUUAAUUUAAUUUAUAAUUUGAAAUUUUAAAUUAAAUUUGAUUGGGGCGAUGGAAAAAGAAUGAGUAUCUUUUUUAGUUYUAAAAAUUGGYUCCGWUKUWAACGAUUAAAUGAGAAAAAUACUCUAGGGA